rnacentral:lncRNA from 1 species
AAUAUUUUUUUUUCUGACUAUUUUUAUAAAAAUAUUUACACUAUAUUUGUACAUUAAAAUGACGAUUCUGUUAAAUUACAAACUUAUUAUGGAGAAGAGAAGUACUCCUUCCACCUCUCCAUUUUCUCCCACCAUUUCUUCAAUAUUUCUUAAAUUCCAAACUUAUCCUUUUUUACUUUUACAUUUUACUUAUCCUAAUACCUUUUCUGUUUCACUCAACCACAAGUCCCCUGUCCCCCACCUCUCCGGUUAGUGCAAGGCCAGAGGCUAUGACCUCUGCAACCCAAUCAUCACUAUCAUUCAUAUUUCUUAUUUUCCUUCCAUCAAAAUCUUACUACC